AAUUGUUGCAACACAUUGCCACACGACGCACCGUCAGCCACCUGGACAGCAUCAGCCACCUGGACAGUAUCAGCCACCUGGACAGCAUCAGCCACCUCGGCAGCGUCAGCCAUCUGGAUACCUUCAGCUACUUGAACGGGAUUACCUCCAUCAUUUUCUUCGUUACCGGCACGAACCAGCACUCCGAACAGUUGGUCGUCAGCAACGAGAGCUGCUCCAAGGUCGUACUGAAAACAUUAUUAAAUCCUGUAUAAAAUAGAUUUUUUGUAUGAUUGUACAAAACAACUGAAGUCCUAUUUUUUGCAUCUUGUACCUGCGUCAGUAUAAUUUUAUUUAUAUAAACAUCAUUGUCAUCAUCACCUAUUGAAACCUCACUAUCAAAUACCUGCCUGCCUCAAAUAUCUGCCUUACUUAUUAAGAGUAGUAGAACUCUAUUUAUAUUGGUUCCAUUUAAGAGUUUUUUUUUUUUUAAGAAACAAUUCACUGCUUCUUUAUUAGCGAAUAAAGUAGCAAUCUAGCACUAUUUUACCUGGCUGGCCUUGUUCUCAGAAGAUCCGAUGAGAAGACCAUCAUCAGACUCUUCCAACGCAACAUCGACACACUGCAGUUGUUCACCGGCAUCUAAAAAUUAUAUAUGCUUUAAUAUGUUGUCUGAAGAUUUGCCUUUUUUUGUUUUUUUUUAUCCAGAGAAGUUAGAACAAUAAGAUAGUUUUUUUAUUUAAGAUUAAAAUCAUUAAGAGAAGUCUUGUACAUGGAAAGAAAAAGACCCAAUAAAUAAACAACAAAAUAACGCCAAAAAAUUUUUGCUCAAUUUUUCCUUAAAAUUCAUGUUGUCUCUAGCUUAACAUACUCUCACGUGCGAGUGGCAAAGUUGGGCGGGUUGCUUGUUAGGGAUGUACACAAUAUAGAGUUUUAAGAAUUCAUCUAUUUGAAAAAAAAUGCAUCUGGAAUUUUAUAAGUGUUUUUACGUACUUAGCGUAUGCAAAACUAUAACCUUCAUUGAGCUAAGAAUACCGACGGCGGGACAUCCUGGAUAAUGUAUGUUUUUUGUGUUCAUAAUAAACGUAUUUCAUGUGAUA